rnacentral:lncRNA from 1 species
CUAGAGUGUCCAGCCCGUUGGCUACCUGAUUAUAUGACAUCUGCGCUCAGAACCAUCUAUUCCUGCUCUCCUGGUCUUCUAGCUUGCAGGCUUCUCAGCCUCUGAGGGAAUUAAUCUCACAAAGACCAUCCUUCUCCCCACCAGUCAAAAGGAGGACCCAGGGCCAAGUCUCAGAGUGGACUGCACGGGCAAUUGUAAGCCAUCAUGACAGUAUGACCCAAGGAUAGACAAAGUCCAGCCCGUGUGCCUGCCUACCCAGGAGCAGCCAGCAGGAGACAAAGCUCCCCUGUCCUGUCCUGUGAUGUCUGUGUCCCACAGUUUUGUGUUCAGGUAAGCGGGACUGUGUGAUUCAAAGUGUGUGAAUAGGGGUCAAGGCUUCGUGUGACUCCAUUGCUGGAAUACUUGCCUCACAUGCAUGAAGGCCUGGGUGUGAG